UACGGGAGCAGCAGUGGGGAAUAUUGCACAAUGGGCGAAAGCCUGAUGCAGCUAUGCCGCGUGUAUGAAGAAGGCCUUAGGGUUGUAAAGUACUUUCAUCGGGGAGGAAAAAACAAAACUAAUAAUUUUAUUUCUUGACGUUACCCGAAAAAGAAGCACCGGCUAACUCCGUGCCAGCAGCCGCGGUAAUACGGAGGGUGCUAGCGUUAAUCAGAAUUACUGGGCGUAAAGAGCACGUAGGUGGUUUUUUUAAAGUCAGAUGUGAAAUCCCUGGGCUUAACCUGGAACUGCAUUUUGAAACUGAAAUACUAGAGUAUCGUAGAGGGAGGUAGAAUUCUAGGUGUAGCGGUGAAAUGCGUAGAUAUCUGGAGGAAUACCUGUGGCGAAAGCGGCCUCCUAAACGAAUACUGACACUGAGGUGCGAAAGCGUGGGGAGCAAACAGGGAUUAGAUACC
rnacentral:rRNA from 1 species